GACGAACGCUGGCGGCGUGCUUAACACAUGCAAGUCGAACGGAAAGGCCCUGCUUUUGUGGGGUGCUCGAGUGGCGAACGGGUGAGUAACACGUGAGUAACCUGCCCUUGACUUUGGGAUAACUUCAGGAAACUGGGGCUAAUACCGGAUAGGAGCUCCUGCUGCAUGGUGGGGGUUGGAAAGUUUCGGCGGUUGGGGAUGGAUUCGCGGCUUAUCAGCUUGUUGGUGGGGUAGUGGCUUACCAAGGCUUUGACGGGUAGCCGGCCUGAGAGGGUGACCGGCCACAUUGGGACUGAGAUACGGCCCAGGCUCCUACGGGAGGCAGCAGUGGGGAAUAUUGCACAAUGGGCGGAAGCCUGAUGCAGCAACGCCGCGUGCGGGAUGACGGCCUUCGGGUUGUAAACCGCUUUCGCCUGUGACGAAGCGUGAGUGACGGUAAUGGGUAAAGAAGCACCGGCUAACUACGUGC
rnacentral:rRNA from 1 species